AUACCUCCUCCCUCUAAAAUUACUGCAAAUAUUUUUUUCCCCAAAAAAUAUUUUAAGGAUUGAAGGGUGAAAGAGGACCUACUGGGCUUCCAGGAUUUCCAGGCCAAAGAGGUCUUGAUGGCAGAGAUGGAGAACUAGGAUUGCCAGGGGAAAAAGGAGCUGAGGGCGAUUCUGGAGUAGCAAUUCCGGGUGAUAAAGGAUUCCCUGGGCUCCCAGGACCUCCUGGGGUAAAAGGCCAGAUGGGAUUGCCUGGUUUGGGGCUUCCUGGGUCUCCAGGAGCCAGAGGUAGCCCUGGAGACUCUGGAGAUAUGGGUAAUGUUGGGCCACCUGGUCCAAAAGGCCAGAAAGGUAAUUUUGUAUGUUUAUGUUAAG
rnacentral:lncRNA from 1 species